rnacentral:rRNA from 1 species
GUCUGUAGCCAGACCAACCUGAACAGGGCCCAUCUCCUCUGAUCUCAGGAGCUAAGCAGAAUUAGGGAUGGUUAGUAUUUGGAUGGGAGAACUUUAUGGCUCUAGAUC